AACACUGAAAAGAGCCUGGAAGAGAGUGACUGCUUAAUAAUUACCUAUCAUUACUGCUACCACACUAAUUAGAGUUAUUGCAAGCUCCUGCUGCCCAACAUAUUUCACCAAAGAAUGUUAGAGCUGGGAAAGACGCUAACAUCACCCAAGUCAAAGCCUCACUUCACAAUGGAGGACACACGACCAGAGAAGGCGAGUGGCUUUUCCCAGGCCACAAAGUUGGGUGUGUUCACAAACCAGCCAGCCUCCUGACUCCCCACCCCACACACUUUCUGUUCCACCAGGACAUCGUAGAUUUCAGAUUCAGGUACAGAUGGGCUGAAUCUUGUGGAGUAUCAUUGAAAAUGGGUCACUAUGAAGUGAAAAUACCAACUAGACAGGAUCUGGAUGACUCUGGUCAGCACUGGCACAGAGUCUGAGCUGACGAAACGUCAACAGAGCUGGCGUGGGGUGGGCAGCCUCUCCGGGGGCCGGGGGCAGUGUGGUGGAGAGAGGUGAGGGGAGCAGAGCCACAACACAGGCAGGUGACCACCAAGACAUGGGAGAGCGUUCUGGAUGGUGAGCGGAUCAGAAACACGUCUUUGCAGGGAACUCUGGGAACUGGGGCUCUUUGACCAGGAGGACAGAAGAGAGGGCUCAGAGGCCACCCCAAAUAGCUGAAAGAUCUUCCUGUGGAUGAGCAAAUCAGCUUGCUGGGUGCAGCCCCAGGCGGGACAAGGCAGAAGCAAAGAGCAAGCCUGACCUGCAUCUAGUCCCAGCUCUGCCCCUGAGUGAUCCUGAACAAGGGACGUCACUUCUCCCACCCUCAAUCUCCACAUCUGUAAAAUGGGUAUAAGAAGAGAACCCACCUUGAAGGAUGGUGAGGAUCAAUACAGCAACACAUGGCAACUGCUAAGUACAACCACGCACACAUCAGGUUCAAUGAAUGGUGGCCACCGUUACUAGGUGGAGGACAGGAAGCUUCCGGGAAGGCUGGAGUUCAAUGUAAUAAACAGACCUAAUGUUGGA